rnacentral:rRNA from 1 species
UGAGUUUGAUCCUGGCUCAGAAUGAACGCUAGUGAUUUGUUUAAGACAUGCAAGUUCAACUUUUUUUCAUUAAUUAAAAAGUGGCGAACGGGUGAGUAAUACAUGAGAAUUUACCCAGUUAUUUAGGUAAAUCCUAAAUAAAAAAAAAUAGUUUUAAUAAAGAUUAAUUCGUAAUUGGAUAAGCUUGUGUAAGAUUAGGUAGUUUGUGUGAUAAAAGCUCACAAAGCCUUCAAUCUUUAGUUGAUCUGAGAGGAUGGUCAACCACACUGGGACUGAGACACGGCCCAGACCUCGGAAGAGGGCAGCAGUCGAGAAUCUUAGGCAAUGAGCGACAGCUUGACCUAGCAAAAUCACGUGUAUGAUGAAGGCCAUUUGGUUGUAAAAUACUUUCAUUAAGGAUAAUAAUGAUAUUACUUAAAGAAGAAGUCCCGGCUAAUUUCGUGCCAGCAGCCGCGGUAAAACGAAAGGGGCAAGCGUUAUUCGGAAUUUUUGGGCGUAAAGGGUGCGUAGAUGGUUUAGAAUUUUAUAAUUGAAAUUUUGAGUACUUAAUACUUAUAGAGGUUAUAAAUCUUUCUAAACUUGAGUAUAAAAAAUAAUUGUAGAAUUUUAAGAGUAACAAUGAAAUGUGAAGAUACUUAAAGGAAUACCAGUGGUUAAAACGGCAAUUAUGUUUAUUACUGACAUUGAGGCACGAAAGCGUGGGUAGCAAAAAGGAUUAGAGACCCUUGUAGUCCACGCCUUAAACGAUGAGUAUUAGUCUUUGGCAUUUGUCAGAGACUAAGCUAACGCAUUAAAUACUCCGCCAGGGGAGUACGAUCGCAAGAUUGAAACUCAAAGGAAUUGACGGGAACUUGUACAAGCGGUGGAGCAUGUGGUUUAAUUCGAUAGUACGCGAAAAACCUUACCAAUUUUUGACAUUUCGAUUAUAAAUAAAUUUUAAAAUUUAUUUUAAUUUUGAAACAGGUGCUGCAUGGCUGUCGUCAGCCCGUGCUGUGAAGUGUUUGGUUCAUUCCAAUAAACGGGCGUAACUCUUUUAAUUUAUUUUGUAAUAAAUUAAACUGCUAAAGAUAAUUUAGAUGAAGGUGAGAAUGACGUCAAGUCAUCAUGGCCCUUAUGAAUUGGGCAACACAUGUGCUACAAUGGUUUAUACAAUAAGUAUCAGUAGAUGUAAAUUGCUGGAAUUAGUAAAGUAAACGAUAAGUACGGAUUACAUUUUGCAAUUCAAAUGUAUGAAGCAGGAAUCGCUAGUAAUCAUGGAUUAGUAUGCCAUGGUGAAUAAGUACUCAAGUUCUGUACACACUGCCCGUCACGCUAUGGGAACGGAUUAUGUUUGAAGUUUUUUCAUCCUAAUUUUGUUUCUUGUUUUUUAUAAAGUUGUAAUAGCAUGCUAAAACAAGAAACAAAAUUAGGAUGAAAAGACCAAAAUAUAAUUAGGGAUUAUAGUGAAGUCGUAACAAGGUAGCCGUAGAGGAAUCUGUGGCUGGAUUAACAAAAUAAAUUUAACAAUUAUUUCUUUUUUCCUUACUUUUUAAAAUAAACAUUAAAUGAUUUAUCAAAUUCAUUAUUUAAG